rnacentral:tRNA from 1 species
GUCCGAGUUGGCCGAAGGAGCACGCCUGGAAAGUGUGUAGGCGCCACAAGCGUCUCGAGGGUUCGAAUCCCUCA